CCUACGGGAGGCAGCAGUGAGGAAUAUUGGUCAAUGGGCGCGAGCCUGAACCAGCCAAGUAGCGUGAAGGAUGACUGCCCUACGGGUUGUAAACUUCUUUUAUAAAGGAAUAAAGUGAGGCACGUGUGCCUUUUUGUAUGUACUUUAUGAAUAAGGAUCGGCUAACUCCGUGCCAGCAGCCGCGGUAAUACGGAGGAUCCGAGCGUUAUCCGGAUUUAUUGGGUUUAAAGGGAGCGUAGGUGGGUUGUUAAGUCAGUUGUGAAAGUUUGCGGCUCAACCGGAAAAUUGCAAUUGAUACUGGCAGCCUUGAGUACAGUUGAGGUAAGCGGAAUUCGUGGUGUAGCAGUGAAAUGCGUAGAUAUCACGAAGAACUCCGAUUGCGAAGGCAGCUAACUAAACUGCCACUGACAUUGAUGCUCGAAAGUGUGGGUAUCAAACAGGAUUAGAUACCCCUGUAGUC
rnacentral:rRNA from 1 species